rnacentral:rRNA from 1 species
ACGUAGGUGGCGAGCGUUAUCCGGAAUUACUGGGCGUAAAGCGUGUGCAGGCGGCUGGUUAAGUGGUGUUUGAAAUAUCCCGGCUCAACCGGGAGGGGUUAUGCCAGACUGUCCGUCUUGAGUGCGAGAGAGGAGCGUGGAAUUCCGGGUGUAGUGGUGAAAUGCGUAGAGAUCCGGAGGAACCCCAGAGGCGAAGGCGGCGCUCUGGCUCGCAACUGACGCUCAGACACGACAGCAUGGGGAGCGAACGGG